CCCUUAGAUGUUCUGGGCCGCACGCGCGCUACACUGAUGCAUUCAACGAGUCUAAAACCUGCUCUGAUAGGGGUGGGUAAUCUUUUGAAUGUGCAUCGUGAUUGGGAUAGAUGAUUGCAAUUUUUCAUCUUCAACGAGGAAUGCCUAAUAAACGCAAGUCAUCAGCUUGCAUUGAUUACGUCCCUGCCCUUUGUACACACCGCCCGUCGCUCCUACCGAUUGAAUGAUCCGAUGAAUAUCAUGGAUUGAGGAUGCAAGCAGGUUCGCCUGUCUUCAUCUUCGAGAAGUGAAGUAAAUCUUAUCAUUUAGAGGAAGGAGAAGUCGUAACA
rnacentral:rRNA from 1 species